GACGAACGCUGGCGGCGUGCUUAACACAUGCAAGUCGAACGGUGAAGGGGUCUGCUUUUGUGGGUCCUGGAUGAGUGGCGAACGGGUGAGUAACACGUGAGUAACCUGCCCCCUUCUUCUGGAAAACCGCAUGAAAGUGUGGCUAAUACGGGAUAUUCUGGGUCUGUCGCAUGAUGGGUCUGGGAAAGAUUGCGCCUUUGGGUGUAUUUGGUGGGGGAUGGGCUCGCGGCCUAUCAGCUUGUUGGGGGGGUGAUGGCCUACCAAGGGGGGGACGGGUAGCCGGCCUGAGAGGGUGGACGGUCACGCUGGGACAGAGACACGGCCCAGACACGUACGGGAGGCAGCAGUGGGGAAUAUUGCAGAAUGGGCGCAAGCCUGAUGCAGCGACGCCGCGUGAGGGAUGGAGGCCUUCGGUUUGUAAACCUCUUUCGCCAGUGAAGCAGGCCUGCUCCUUGUGGGUGGGUUGACGGUAGCUGGAUAAGAAGCGCCGGCUAACUACGGG
rnacentral:rRNA from 1 species